ensembl:lncRNA
ACUAAUGCUCCUCAGCUACAACAGGUCUAAUAUUAUUACUAAUGCUUCUCAGCUACAACAGGUCUAAUAUUAUUACUAAUGCUUCUCAGCUACAACAGGUCUAAUAUUAUUACUAAUGCUUCUCAGCUACAACAGGUGCAGAGGGAAGGUCUCAGAGUUACCUCUCCACCCCAAAUGCAAUAACUUGUAUAAGAGGUCAUAUGAAGACACAGCUCCCAGCAACCAGAGGAGAGAGAGAGAGUGUGGGAGAGAAAAAUACGGAAAAAAAGUGAUGACUCAUUGCCAGUAAGGAUGCAGACACAGAUCGAUGGUGC